rnacentral:rRNA from 1 species
UACAGAGGGUGCGAGCGUUAAUCGGAAUUACUGGGCGUAAAGCGCACGUAGUCGGCUUUGCAAGUCGGUUGUGAAAUCCCCGGGCUCAACCUGGGAACUGCAUCCGAGACUGCAUUGCUAGAGUAUGGGAGAGGAAAGCGGAAUUUCUGGUGUAGCAGUGAAAUGCGUAGAUAUCAAAAGGAACAUCAGUGGCGAAGGCGGCUUUCUGGACCAAUACUGACGAUCAGGUGCGAAAGCGUGGGGAGCAAACAGG